CAGUCGCCACGGGAAUACGUAGGUGGCAAGCGUUGUCCGGAAUUAUUGGGCGUAAAGGGCUCGCAGGCGGUUUCUUAAGUCUGAUGUGAAAGCCCCCGGCUCAACCGGGGAGGGUCAUUGGAAACUGGGAAACUUGAGUGCAGAAGAGGAGAGUGGAAUUCCACGUGUAGCGGUGAAAUGCGUAGAGAUGUGGAGGAACACCAGUGGCGAAGGCGACUCUCUGGUCUGUAACUGACGCUGAGGAGCGAAAGCGUGGGGAGCGAACAGGAUUAGAUACCCCUGUAGUCCCUGUCUCUUAUCC
rnacentral:rRNA from 1 species